rnacentral:rRNA from 1 species
GAGUUUGAUCAUGGCUCAGAGCGAACGCUGGCGGCAUGCUUAACACAUGCAAGUCGCACGGGCAGCAAUGUCAGUGGCGGACGGGUGAGUAAUGCGUAGGUAUCUAUCCUUGGGUGGGGGACAACUGUGGGAAACUACAGCUAAUACCGCAUGAUAACUGAGGUUUAAAGGCGCAAGUCGCCUGGGGAGGAGCCUGCGUACGAUUAGCUAGUUGGUGGGGUAAAGGCCUACCAAGGCGACGAUCGUUAGCUGGUCUGAGAGGAUGAUCAGCCACAUUGGGACUGAGACACGGCCCAAACUCCUACGGGAGGCAGCAGUGGGGAAUAUUGGACAAUGGGCGAAAGCCUGAUCCAGCAAUGCCGCGUGUGUGAAGAAGGUCUUCGGAUUGUAAAGCACUUUCGACGGGGACGAUGAUGACGGUACCCGUAGAAGAAGCCCCGGCUAACUUCGUACCAGCAGCCGCGGUAAUACG